AAUCGCGUCUGUCUGUUAAAGGUAGCAGGUUGUACAUGACGAGCGGGUUACUUACUGAGGACUGGUGAUUGGUGUAAUGGAAGCCGUCUCUGAACCGCAUUUAAUGACGGAGAACUACAGAAGUGGAGAGAAAACGCAGCACUGAGCAACUUGUAGACUUCACACCCGACUGUAGUUGAACACACACCAAAUCAUAAUGACCAUCUCCGAUAUUGUGUGCACAAACUUCUGAGGAGGACUUGAAGGCAGCAAUAAAUGAUGUCACAUGAUUUAUUAACAACAAACAGAUAAAAACAAUAAAGUGUCUGUUCUCCUGGACUGUUGAAUAAGGAACAACCCAGUCCCACCUGCCCCCAUCAUCCUGUGUGACUCCCCAGUCGAUACUGUGCACUCCUUCCGCUUCCUGGGAUCUACCAUCACCCAGGACGUCAAGUGGGAGCUGAACAUCAGGUCUCUCAUUAAAAAAAUCAGAGUGUACUUCUUGUGGCAACUGAAGAAGUUCAGCCUACCAAAGACAAUUAUGGUGCACUUUUACACCUCCAUCAUCAGUAUGGUGAGUCCAUACUCACCUCCUCCAUCACCAUCUAGUACACUGCUGCCACUGAAAAAGGACAAGGACAGACUGCAGCAUGUCAUUUGCUCUGCUGAGAAGGUCAUUGGCUGAAAUCUGCCACCCCUUCAUUAUCUGUGCACUUCCAGGACCCUGAAACGGGCAGUUACGAUUAUGGCUGACCCCUCUCACGCUGGACACAAACUUUUCCAGGCUCUCCCCUCUGGCAGGAGGCUGCGGUCCAUCAAGUCCAAAAACCUCACGCCACAAAAACAGUUUCUUCCCAUCGACAAUUGGCCUCAUUAACAACACUGAAGACCCACCAUGGUCUCUUAUCUGCCUCCAUGAACAUUUACACAUCACAUUAACGAACAACCCCACAUUGUUGUUUCAUAUGCGUUACAUCAACACACAACUCAGACUGCUGUGUUCAACACAUACUGUACUAAUGUACAGUUAAUGUCUUUAUUUUUAUUUUCCUAAACUUUCCAAAACAUAACUUCCUAACUCUCUCUCUUAUUAAUAUUAUAUUAUUUCUUGUAUGUACUGUUAUUGUUAAGCACCAGUACACCAAGACAAAUUCCUUGUACAUGUAAACCCACCGUACUUGACAAUAAAUCUGAUUCUGAUUCCCAACAAA